rnacentral:rRNA from 1 species
UACGGGGGGAGCAAGCGUUGCUCGGAUUUACUGGGCGUAAAGGGCGCGUAGGCGGCCACCGCAAGUCGACUGUGAAAUCUCCGGGCUUAACCCGGAAAGGUCAGCCGAUACUGCGGGGCUAGAGUGCAGAAGGGGCAACUGGAAUUCUCGGUGUAGCGGUGAAAUGCGUAGAUAUCGAGAGGAACACCUGCGGCGAAGGCGGGUUGCUGGGCUGACACUGACGCUGAUGUGCGAAAGCUAGGGGAGCGAACGGG